rnacentral:rRNA from 1 species
UACGGGGGGGGCAAGCGUUGUUCGGAAUUACUGGGCGUAAAGGGCGCGUAGGCGGUUGGAUAAGUCAGCUGUGAAAACCACGAGCUCAACUUGUGGCCUGCAGUUGAAACUGUCUGGCUAGAGUGUGGGAGAGGGAAGUGGAAUUCCCGGUGUAGCGGUGAAAUGCGUAGAUAUCAGGAGGAACACCGGUGGCGAAGGCGGCUUCCUGGACCACAACUGACGCUGAGGCGCGAAAGCUAGGGGAGCAAACAGG